rnacentral:rRNA from 1 species
AACGAACGCUGGCGGCAGGCCUAACACAUGCAAGUCGAGCGCGCCCUUCGGGGUGAGCGGCGGACGGGUGAGUAACGCGUGGGAACGUGCCCUUUUCUACGGAAUAGCCUCGGGAAACUGAGAGUAAUACCGUAUACGCCCUUUGGGGGAAAGAUUUAUCGGAAAAGGAUCGGCCCGCGUUGGAUUAGGUAGUUGGUGGGGUAAUGGCCUACCAAGCCGACGAUCCAUAGCUGGUUUGAGAGGAUGAUCAGCCACACUGGGACUGAGACACGGCCCAGACUCCUACGGGAGGCAGCAGUGGGGAAUCUUAGACAAUGGGGGCAACCCUGAUCUAGCCAUGCCGCGUGAGUGAUGAAGGCCUUAGGGUUGUAAAGCUCUUUCAGCUGGGAAGAUAACGACGGUACCAGCAGAAGAAGCCCCGGCUAACUCCGUG